rnacentral:rRNA from 1 species
AGCUUUAUGAAAUUAUAUCAAGCACAUCCUGAUCAGUGAAAUCAACAGCCGCCCAAUUUUAUACUGUGCUAAGGUAGCAUAAUCACUUGUCUUCUAAUUAAAGAAUAGAAUGAACGGAAAACGAAUAUUAAACUGCUUCAUUUUUUAAAAAUAAAAUUUCACCUAAAGUAAAAAUGCUUUUUUAAUCUAAAAAGACGACAAGACCCUAAAGAACUAAUACUUAAGUUUAGCUGGGGCGGCUACACAAAAAAAUCUUAUUUAAAUAAUACCAUUCCUAACUCUAUAAAAGUUACCUUAGGGAUAACAGCAUAAUUUAAUUCAAAAGCUCUUAUAAAAAAUUAAGAUUAUGACCUCGAUGUUGAAUUAAGCUUCUUUCUUGAAGAAAAGCUCAGACUAAGAAAGUCUGUUCGACUUUUAAAUACUUACAUGAUUUGAGUUCAGACCGGUGAAAACCAGGUCGGUUUCCAUCUUUUUUAAAAAUAUGCUAGUACGAAAGGACCUCAUAAUUUAUUUCUAAU